rnacentral:lncRNA from 1 species
UAGCUACAUUGAAAAAUCUCCUUCUGCUCCUUAUUGUUACUUGUUUGCUUAACUUAUCAUUUGUUUGUUUUUUUGGAAGGUGAGGAAACUUGGGUUAUUACAGCUGUCAAGGCUGAGGCUCUGGCCCCAAUGACUCCAGGAACAACACUACUGAAAAAUCUAAUGCAAUCAAGUCAAGAGGGUGUGAGCUUGGAAGAUGAAGGCUGACAGCUGAAGGCUGAAGGAUUCUGUCAAGACAACGACCAUGAUACCGGCUCACCAAAAAAACGAGGCUGACUUCAUCGGGACCAGAUUAAUCUGCAACACUUCGGGUUUUGCUUUUAUGAUUAUCAGCAUUAUGAGCAUGGUUAAACUGGCUCAGUGAAAGCUUCUCCAGCUCCUUAUCCUUCUCGAAAAAAAGAAAAAAUAUAUCAUUACCAAUGACAUCAUGAUUGCAAAAAACUGUGUAGGUUUCACCUCAAUGUGAGAAUCAAACACACCUCCCUUGCCUUGCCUUUAAGAGUCUUAAAGGAAAAAUAAAACAACCUGAAAGAGGUAGCCA